rnacentral:rRNA from 1 species
AGAGUUUGAUCCUGGCUCAGGACGAACGCUGGCGGCGUGCUUAACACAUGCAAGUCGAACGGAAAGGCCCUUCGGGGUACUCGAGUGGCGAACGGGUGGGUAACACGUGGGUGAUCUGCCCUGCACUUUGGGAUAAGCCUGGGAAACUGGGUCUAAUACCGAAUAUGACCAUGCGCCUCCUGGUGUGUGGUGGAAAGCUUUUGCGGUGUGGGAUGGGCCCGCGGCCUAUCAGCUUGUUGGUGGGGUAAUGGCCUACCAAGGCGACGACGGGUAGCCGGCCUGAGAGGGUGACCGGCCACACUGGGACUGAGAUACGGCCCAGACUCCUACGGGGGGCAGCAGUGGGGAAUAUUGCACAAUGGGCGCAAGCCUGAUGCAGCGACGCCGCGUGAGGGAUGACGGCCUUCGGGUUGUAAACCUCUUUCAGCACAGACGAAGCGCAAGUGACGGUAUGUGCAGAAGGAGGACCGGCCAACUACGUGCCAGCAGCCGCGGUAAUACGUAGGGUCCGAGCGUUGUCCGGAAUUACUGGGCGUAAAGAGCUCGUAGGUGGUUUGUCGCGUUGUUCGUGAAAACUCACAGCUUAACUGUGGGCGUGCGGGCGAUACGGGCAGACUUGAGUACUGCAGGGGAGACUGGAAUUCCUGGUGUAGCGGUGGAAUGCGCAGAUAUCAGGAGGAACACCGGUGGCGAAGGCGGGUCUCUGGGCAGUAACUGACGCUGAGGAGCGAAAGCGUGGGGAGCGAACAGGAUUAGAUACCCUGGUAGUCC